CGCUCAACCAACUGAGCCACCCAGGCGCCCCCUAAAUAUCAUGUUGAACAGUGGAGCAAAUGGGAAUUAGAACAUACUUCUGAAGUGAAUUCACCAAUUAAGCAAAGCCAUCUCUCUUUUGGACAUGUAAGGGUUUUUUUUUUUUUUAUUUUUUCCAUCUGUAAAAUUAGAAUCAAAGAAGGAAGCAAUUCCAAGUGUGAGAUGAAACACAUACUAUGCUCUGAAUUAGUAAAUUUUUCACCAGUUUCCUUGAGGUUAAAUCAUUUGAAUAACUGAUUUCUGUUUCUAAAUUUGUUGAAAAUCAUCUAUUUCCUGAAAUGACUCAGACUGUUUAAAACUAGAGGCCUUAUAUAAAUCUCUAGUCAAGAGAUAUAAUUGCUCACUUGUCAAGUGUAGAAUGCAUUACCAUUCCUCAAUAAAUGUUAAAUUGAAA